UACGUAGGGUGCAAGCGUUGUCCGGAUUUAUUGGGCGUAAAGAGCUCGUAGGCGGUUUGUCGCGUCGGAUGUGAAAACCCAGGGCUCAACCCUGGGCCUGCAUUCGAUACGGGCAGACUAGAGUAUGGCAGGGGAGACUGGAAUUCCUGGUGUAGCGGUGGAAUGCGCAGAUAUCAGGAGGAAUACCGGUGGCGAAGGCGGGUCUCUGGGCAGUAACUGACGCUGAGGAGCGAAAGCGUGGGGAGCGAACAGG
rnacentral:rRNA from 1 species